CUUGUUUAGGCUUCUUAAACAUCUAUGCUCUCCUUCUCAGCAGUGACCUUCUGGGUUUGACCUAAACACUUCUUCAUUCACCUUGAAUUUCUCAGGGUCUCCGUUGACUUACCCGUGGGCCGGGACAAGUGGCGCCCAACGUGGGGCCCAAGAACGGGGGAUCCAGUGAAGAACGCUGCUUGGGGCCCCAAUAAAAUAGAAGAGGCAAAUAAAAUAGAAAAAAGAGGAUUGCGUUUGACGUGAACCUGCCGUCUUUCCUGCACCUCGGGUGCAGGUAUUCUUCUCUACUCCAAGGACUCAAAUGAACGACUGGAGGUAUUUCAGAGCAGAAGCUUUAAGGAUGGACACAUGGCUCUCCACAGCUCUUAUCCCUCUGCUGGUACGCUGGCAAAAUUCCCCACAGAGCCUGUCUUGCAGCCUGAGCCAGAGAGAGAGAAAGAAUAUGGAACCACAGCCAGCCUCUGCAGACCUGCAGUGGGACCAAGACGCAAACCUUUGGGCUCUCAGCCAGACUUGCAAACACUUCUGAAAAGGGCCAGAGAGGAAAUACUGUACGGGUUACAAGCCAUGUGGUCUCUGUCAGAACUACUCAACUGUGCCUCUGUGUCAGGAAAGCAACCACAGGCAGCAAGAUGGGACCAGGAAUACACAUUCCUAAGAUGUUUUCAAGUGAGGCUGAUUUUACAGACCCGGAGACCAAAUACCCUGACCUCUCUUGAUUGAUACAUCAUCUGCAAAGGGAGGUUGCCUCGCAGGGUUGUGGUCCCAGUUAAAUGAGAUAGUGUGACAUGAUUAGGACACUCUGUAAGUUCUCAGCAAAAGUUGGCCAACACUGUGGUGUGAGUCAUCACACACAUGCAUAUAUGUAACACAAUUCUCUUGCUGUUAGAAAUAAAAAAUGGUCAAUGAGGAGAUGAACAUUUGCUUUAUGGGCAAGUAUUCAAGGAUGAUCCUGGGGACUGAACUUUGGUCCUUCACACUGAGUAUGUCCUCCCCACUCUGAGACAGAAUCUUGCUAAGUCACUAAGUUGCAAUCUUCCUGCUUCAGCCUCUCAGAGUGCUGAAAUUACAGACAUAUGCCACAAUGCCUGGCUUAAAUGGAACUUUUUUAUGGCUCAUUUAUAAUGGGGAUUGGGUGUAAACUAACUUCUAGCUGGGAGAGUG
rnacentral:lncRNA from 1 species